rnacentral:rRNA from 1 species
AUUGAACGCUGGCGGCAUGCCUUACACAUGCAAGUCGAACGGCAGCACGGGUGCUUGCCCCUGGUGGCGAGUGGCGAACGGGUGAGUAAUACAUCGGAACAUGUCCUGUAGUGGGGGUUAGCCCGGCGAAAGCCGGAUUAAUACCGCAUACGAUCUACGGAUGAAAGCGGGGGCCCUUCGGGCCUCGCGCUAUAGGGUUGGCCGAUGGCUGAUUAGCUAGUUGGUGGGGUAAAGGCCUACCAAGGCGACGAUCAGCAGCUGGUCUGAGAGGACGACCAGCCACACUGGGACUGAGACACGGCCCAGACUCCUACGGGAGGCAGCAGUGGGGAAUUUUGGACAAUGGGCGAAAGCCUGAUCCAGCAAUGCCGCGUGUGUGAAGAAGGCCUUCGGGUUGUAAAGCACUUUUGUCCGGAAAGAAAUCCUUGGCCCUAAUACGGUCGGGGGAUGACGGUACCGGAAGAAUAAGCACCGGCUAACUACGUG